GUUUACUGUUUGCAAUGUCAUGCUUUAAUGCGUCUGCUCAUAAGAAACAAUGAAGUGAAAUGUGAUCGUAUGUGAUGUUAUAAACAGUUUAAUCAUAGUGAGUGAGUAAAUUAGAUCUAGCUCGCUUUUAAUAUCAAGUUGAGUUAAAUUCGCUGCCAGUCGAUGUGCUGCAUCGGGUUACAGCAUUGGCUGUAACUUUCCUCUUGGCUCACGCCCACACGGGAUGGUUUAAAAGAGCCCGGGAGUCUUUGCUCGGUCUUCAGUUUUUUUUCUUCAGUUUUUCUCUUCAGUUUUGUCUUCUCUUCAGUUCUUCUCUUCAGUUUUUUCUUCUCCUUAGUUUUGUCUUCUCUUCAGUUUUUGUCUCUUCCGUUUUUGUCUUCGUCUAGUUUUCUUUUGUCUUCGCCUAUCGUUCGCAAUUUUCCCCGCGUUUUAUUAAUUGCCUUAAGCUCAGAUUUUUAUUCUAAACUUGGAUGAAAGCAUUCCCAAGUCCUUUAGAGCCUCAGUAACAAGCUGCGCGCAUAAGAGAACCUCAGUCUAAGUCUUUUAUUUUUGUUCGCUAAAGUGACUCCUGAAGAUAAUAUCGGCUGGCCAGCGAAAUUAUUUUCUUAAGUUAUUGGCGCGAAUUAAUCUGCAACCAAG